rnacentral:lncRNA from 1 species
GUCCGGCUACUAUGCUAUCGGUAGCACGGAGCGCUCCGUGCUACCAAGUUGUUUUCGAUGAUGCGGCUUUCAAAUCGACGAUCGGCUCCGUUAGACUUGAUCUACACUAUUAAAAGUAUUUGGAAACUAAAUUUCAUAAUUUUUCGACAUCAUUUGGCUAGUGAUCAAAAGGUCACAAAAUUGACAAUUUUAAUGGUAGAUGUGACGCGUUUGUGAAUUUAACGGUGUAAAACAAUCCAAAUCUGAUAAAAUUUUAUAGAAAAUUCUUUUCACUAUUUAGAAUAAGAUCAGUACCUCUGAUCUUAAAUUAAAAUCUUUUAUCAUCAUUUUUUAUGAGAUUUUUAUUUUCAGCCCUUCAUGUUUAGACUACUCGUUUGAUAGGUAAAUGAUGCCGAAAAAUUAGAAAAUUUAGUUUCCAAAUACUUUCAAUAGUGUAGAUCAAGUCUAACGGAACCGAUCGUCAAUUUGGAAGCCGCAUCACUGAAAACAAUUUGGUAGCACGGAGGCCUCCGUGCUACCGAUAGUAUACCAGCCUAGCUCUCUCUCUCUCUCUCUCUCUCUCUCUCUCUCUAUAUAUAUAUAUAUAUAUAUAGUUCGAUUGGGAUACUAUUGAUAGCACCAGCAUUCGGUGCUAUCAAGUUUUCCAUCGUUAGAUUUAGAACUAUUUUCACCCAUUAGAUUAUACUAUUAAACUAAUUACUCACUAAACCCUAGGGGGGCCCACAUUACCCUAACUAUAUAUUUUUUCAUCCAAUGACCCAAAAUCUAAUAGCACCAAAUACUUGAUACUAUUGAUAGUAUUCCAACCUAGGUCUAUAUAUAUAUAGA